GGUUUUCUUUUAUUUUUAAAACCGAAACCAUGUUUUUUUUUAGUUUUUUUUUUAAUUUAGAAUGUUAUUCUCGACUAAGUUAUUUAUUUCAAUUUAAGAACAGUGAAAUUCCUCCGGACAACUAAUAUCGAAGUGGUUUUAUUCGGCUAAGGAAGCUGUUCAUAUAUGGGGGCGUGGCAAAACGAAUGUUUAAAAUGUAUCCUUAUGAUCAGGAGCAGCAAUUUAAAACUAUAUUUAUACUGAACUAAUAAAUGUGAGCCAGAAGUGAAUGAAUGGCAAUUAUCGCAUUAGUUUCCGUUGAGCCACCGCUAUUCAGACGGCACCAACGCAAUACAAUUUGUUCGCUGUGAUCAUUUUACGUAUUGCUGAAACACUGAAAACAGCUAACGGAAAACACCAAAAAUUAUUGAGAAUUUAAAAAAUUAGGAAACUGUAAAUACACACACUACACAUUUUUUGAAAUCUCCUUUUAUCAGAGAUAAUUUAAACGAAAUAUUUCCUAAAUAGUAUCCGUGUCCGGUUAUAGGAACUGGUUUUGUAUGAAAAUAUUAAUGAAAACGUUGUGCUCAUGAAAUUUGUCCAGGUUAUGAGGACUCCGUAUUGGGGAAUUUCAUUCUACUAGAAAAAGAAAGUAUGACCACAAGUGUUCCAGGGUUGCGAAUUAUUUAAUUGUCCAAUGGGAUUAAAAAUUAUAUUUUAUAUUUCAAUUCAUGAUUCUGAAUAUUCAAUUUUUAGUUUUUAUUUUAAAAAAUAUUACAUUUUUAUUUAAAAAUUAACAUUUCAACUUCCAAUGAUUAAUCGGAUAGAACUUGCAUUAAAAAUGUAUAGUGAAAAUUAUCAAUUCAUCAGAAGAAUAAUGAAGGCGAUGUCUCUGCGUGAGCUUUAGUUCAAAAUGGUAGAACACGAAGUACCUAAACGCGAAAAAGUGUAAGUUAUAAUUUUAUUCUUUAAUUCUUAAUUAACGAGGUUAUCAAUAAGAGCGCUAAAAAAGUUUUGUUUUAAAUCAAACAAAAACAAAAUAAUGAAAUUUUUUGAUUCUUAUAAAGGACAUUCGAUGCCAUUAUGUGUGGAGAUCGAUUUUUUUUUACAUGGCUUGCUGAAGUCUAAACUCCGAACCCAAUUUUCGACGGUUUUCAAGCAUAAAUCGGUCGUUACUACUGCAUUUCACGUUCGAUAUUUGACGAAGUUAAUCGCCGUGGGCUUGUUGGCAUAGACCAAAGACUUGACAUAUCCCCUAAAUUAAAAUAGUAUAACGACAUCAAAUCGCACGACCGAGGCGCCAAUUGACUGGGCCAUUUCGUGAGAUAACACGUUCAUCAAACUUGAUUUUGAAUAAAACGAUUGACAUUCACCGUGUGGCUUGUGGCACCAUCGUGUUAGAACUACAUAUUGACCAAGUCCAUAUCAUCCGGUUCGGACUAAAAAUAUCCGGUUAUAAUUGGGCGGUAGCGAUUCCCAUUCACAAUAACGUGCCGGUCUUGAUCAUCAGGAGGACGGCCCAAUGACGCCGCCGGCCCAUAAGCCACACCGAACCGUAAUUUUUCUGGAUACAAUGGUGACACAGGUUUUGCUUAUUGACAAAGCUAUUCAGCCAGAAAUGAACGUCAUCGCUGCAGAUGAUUUUUCGAUGAAAAUUUGUAUCAUUUUCAAGUUGUUGCUCAGCCCAAUUCACGAACAUACGACGAUUCUGGUGGCCAAACGGCUUCAAUUCUUGCCUCAAUUUGAUCUUGUAAGCAUGUAGGCCUAGAUUUUUUCGCGAAAUUCACCACAACGACAUCACAGAGGUGAUUAACGCUUGAGAACGACGUCUGAGAAACUGAUUUAGGUCUUUUUCAAUUGAUGCGCUAGCGGCAGCAAUAUUCCGACACUACGGACACUUCUUUGUCUCACUGGCACGGGAACAUUUUUUAGUGUACCUGUGAAUUAAAAUUUUUCCACUAGACGCUCAUUUGUGGAUUUGCCAGGACGAUUAUGACGACCAUAAAUUGGACGUAGCGCUCUAAAAGUUGAAUUUCGGUAGUAAAUUUUAAUAAUUUCGACUUGUUGUUGGAUCGUAUAUCUUUCUAUGAUGAAAUGGCAAACCUUACUGAAGGGAAAUGUCAAAAGAGCGGGAAAAAUUUUACGUCGUUUGCUGUCCCUAUCAAAUCGUUGUUUUUCUGGAUCAGAUGGCAGCUCUUGAAUAUAUUCAGGUUGCUCUUCGUCCUAAAUGCGGCAAUUUUGCUUUUUUAUAUACACAGAUGGACAAAAGUAUUCGCCACUGAACAAGCUAUACAUGAAUUAGGUUCAAACUAUAAAAAAAAUAUUCGAAAUGUUAAUUUUACGUUAUAUUUCAAUAAAUUAUAUUCCAUACAUUCAUUCUUGACAAAAAAACUCCAAUUAAAAAUAAUAAAUUUUAAUAUUUAAGCUAAAAACUCCAGAAAGUUCAGAAAAUGGUUGGACAAAAGUAUUCGCCACUUACUGUAUACGAAGCUUAUGGUCGCCUUAAGGAAAGAAGUUUACAUAAAAAUUUGUAUCUGGCAAUAUCAUAGUUUGAUUGUAUGUGAGAAUGUGUCAAAAUAAUUUACCGUUAGUUUAUAUUUUGCGCGAUUAAGUAAAAAUGGGUCGUAAGGGUAAAGAAACCACAGAGGAGGAGAGAAAAAUAAUUGUGAAGUUUUUAACCAGUGGAAAAUCCAUAAAGGAAGUGUGCUCUAUUGUGUCGAGACCGCGAUCAACCGUGCGCAGCAUUUUAAAACGUUUCGAAGAAACUCGUACAAAAAUUGCCUUCGCACUGGCCGUCCGAGAAAGCUAAGUGAAACAGACAAGCGAAAAAUAACAAGAAUGGUGAAAAAAAAUCCCAAAACUGCAUCUUCCAAAAUUGCAGCAACAAUAAAUGAAGAUUUGGACAUAACCGUACACCCUCGCACAGUUCGACGUGUGCUGAAUGAAGCUGGGGUUAAGUAAGAUAAAUAAGAAAAAGCGCUUGGAUUUUGCAAAAGAACACAAAUCCAAAAAUAUUUCAUUUUGGGAAAAAGUGAUAUUCUCCGAUGAAAGCAAAUUUAAUAUCUACCGCUCAGAUGGUCGUAUUUUAACAUGGCGGAAAAAAAUACAGAACUGGAACUUCAGAACUUGCAAACCACAGUGAAGCACGGUGGUGGUGGGGUUAUGGUAUGGGGGUGUAUGGCAGCUGCAGGCGUGGGUAAUCUCAUGAGAAAAGAAGAUUACUUGGCCAUUUUAAAAACAAAUUUGAAAGCCAGCGCUGACAGUCUUUGCUUGGGAAAUGAUUUUUAUUUCCAACAUGAUAAUGAUCCCAAGCAUACGGCUGAGAUUGUACGGCUUUGGCUUAUUUAUAAUGUGCCCCAUUUACUGCGAACACCUCCCCAGUCACCUGACCUUAACCCCAUCAAGCAUCUGUGGGAUUUGCUAGAUAAAAAGGUUCGAAAUCACAAUAUAACAUCAAAAGAGCAGCUUAAAAGAGUCCUUUCCGAAGAAUGGCUGAAAAUCGGGACCGAUAUUACAGAAAAACUAGUGCAUUCAAUGUCCAAUCGUUGUCAGGAAGUUAUUAAACGAAAAGGGUUGCAAACAAAAUAUUAAAGUUUGUAUAAACGCUUAUUUAAAAUAGAAUUGUUGAAAUUGGCGAAUACUUUUGUCCAACAAUUUUCUGAACUUUCUGGAGUUUUUAGCUUAAAUAUUAAAAUUUAUUAUUUUUAAUUGGAGUUUUUUUUUGUCAAGAAUGAAUGUAUUGUAGUGUAUUGAAAAUCACUUUCAGCUACGAGUGCUAAAUUUUCUUCACUGCGAGCUGGACGUGGUCUAUUCAAUAUCAAUAUUAUUUAAUAAUGAACGCUGGGUUUCAAAAAGGGUAAUGGUGUUGCGAAUAGUACCCUAUUGUAUUGAUCAUAAAUUGAACGAAGCGCGCGAAACACAUUCUUUACAGCACGUAUAUUUUCGUAAUAAAGUUGAAUGAUUUGUAAACGUUGUUUAGGCGUAAGUCUUUCCAAAAUGAAAUGCCAAACAAUACUGAACAAAAAUAACAUGUCAGCUUGACACAACUCA